rnacentral:rRNA from 1 species
CAGUCGCCGCGGGAAUACGUAGGUGGCGAGCGUUGUCCGGAAUUAUUGGGCGUAAAGGGAGCGCAGGCGGGCGAGUAAGUCUUUCUUAAAAGUGCGGGGCUCAACCCCGUGAGGGGAGAGAAACUACUCAUCUUGAGUGCAGGAGAGGAAAGCGGAAUUCCUAGUGUAGCGGUGAAAUGCGUAGAUAUUAGGAAGAACACCAGUGGCGAAGGCGGCUUUCUGGACUGUAACUGACGCUGAGGCCCGAAAGCCAGGGGAGCGAACGGGAUUAGAUACCCCUGUAGUCCCUGUCUCUUAUACA